GGCAACGUGGCGGAGUGGUUAUCGCGUUUGACUCGAAUGGGCUUAAAUACCCUAGCAAUCAAAUUCCUUCGGGAGCGCAUGUUCGAAUCAUGCCGUUGUCG
rnacentral:tRNA from 1 species